GCAAGGGAUUGCCGACGCCGGUCUAUCGUGAGGUCGAACGGACCGGCCCGCACCACGAUCCGCAGUUUCGCGUCGCGGUGGAAUUGCCGGGACUGACUCCGGCGGGGCAGCAAGCGUGCCGCGGAGAAGCUUGCGGCGACAGCGCUGCUGAAGCGGGAAGGCGUAACGGGCGGCAAUGAUGCCUGACGAACUGCAAGAGAAUUCACCCCGCGAGACGCGCUGCGGCUUCGUCGCGCUGAUCGGCGCGCCGAAUGU
rnacentral:misc_RNA from 1 species